GCGUUAUCCGGAUUUACUGGGCGUAGAGGGUGCGUAGGUGGUUUCUUAAGUCAGGAGUGAAAGGCUACGGCUCAACCGUAGUAAGCUCUUGAAACUGGGAAACUUGAGUGCAGGAGAGGAAAGUGGAAUUCCUAGUGUAGCGGUGAAAUGCGUAGAGAUCGGUAGGAACACCAGUGGCGAAGGCGGCUUUCUGGACUGAAACUGACACUGAGGCACGAAAGCGUGGGGAGC
rnacentral:rRNA from 1 species